GAUGAAGAACGCAGUGAAAUGCGAUAAGUAAUGUGAAUUGCAGAAUUCAGUGAAUCAUCGAAUCUUUGAACGCACAUUGCGCCCGCCAGUAUUCUGGCGGGCAUGCCUGUCCGAGCGUCAUUUCAACCCUCGAACCCCUCCGGGGGGUCGGCGUUGGGGAUCGGGAACCCCUAAGACGGGAUCCCGGCCCCGAAAUACAGUGGCGGUCUCGCCGCAGCCUCUCCUGCGCAGUAGUUUGCACAACUCGCACCGGGAGCGCGGCGCGUCCACGUCCGUAAAACACCCAACUUCUGAAAUGUUGACCUCGGAUCAGGUAGGAAUACCCGCUGAACUUAAGCAUAUCAAUAAGCGGAGGA
rnacentral:misc_RNA from 1 species